rnacentral:SRP_RNA from 1 species
GCCAGGCAUAGCGUUGUGUGCCUGUGGUCCCAGCUACUCGGGAGGCUGAGGUGGGGGGAUUGCUUGAGCCCGGGAGGUCGAGGUUGCAGUGAGUCAUGAUUGCACCACUGCACUCCAGCCUGGGUGACAGAGUGAGACCCUGCCUCAA